rfam:Alicyclobacillus ferrooxydans strain TC-34 contig_1, whole genome shotgun sequence.
UCCAUCGUGAGAUGGAAUCUGAAGGAAGCUGGCGGCAAACCCUCGACCUGAGGUACACGAACCGCAUUUGAGGCUGGCGCAGUCGGACAUGCUUGACACCCCGCCGAACCAAGACCCAAUUUGCCGGAUAAGUGGCGGCAAAGCCGACCAUC